UACAGAGGGUGCAAGCGUUGUUCGGAAUUAUUGGGCGUAAAGGGCGUGUAGGCUGUUCCUUAAGUCUUCUGUGAAAUCUACGGGCUCAGCCUGUAAAGUGCAGAGGAAACUGGGGAGCUUGAGUGUUGGAGAGGAUAGUGGAAUUCCCGGUGUAGAAGUGAAAUUCGUAGAGAUCGGGAGGAACAUCAGUGGCGAAGGCGACUAUCUGGCUGACAACUGACGCUGAGGAGCGAAAGCGUGGGGAGCGAACAGG
rnacentral:rRNA from 1 species